UCGUCGAAUGGAAUCCAACUCCAAGCCGAAUUCCAGUCACGACCGAGCUCUAUUUAAAGCUUUUCUUAUUCUCCCCAUCCUUCCCCACGAGAGAACCAGCUCUAAUCAGAGUUUAAUCGCUACAUUCUUCUCCGAUUUCUUCCAUGAUCAGAGUUUAUAGCCAUGGCCAAGCAUUGUCGGAGGCCAGAUUCAAAAAAUUAGCCUGAUUGGAGUUUUCAAUAUGGGAGAGCGACUAGAAGAACUUUGGCAAAAGUUAUCUUAAAGUAGAGUUUUAUUUAAUUGAUGUACUACCUUAGAAUAUUGUUAGAAUUGUGAGAUAUUUAAAUGUCGAGCCAGUUAUUGAAAUAAAGUUUACAUAUUAUUAUUUAAA